rnacentral:tRNA from 1 species
GGCAUUUUAGUUAAAUGGUAUAAUAUGUGUUUCGUAAACAUAAGUUACGAGUUCGAUUCUCGUAAGUGCCU